rnacentral:rRNA from 1 species
AAAAGGAAGUGAUUCCGGCGGAGGAUGGGCAUGCAGCGCAUUAGCUGGUUGGCGGGGUAACGGCCCACCAAGGCGACGAUGCGUAGGGGUUCUGAGAGGAAGGUCCCCCACACUGGUACUGAGACACGGACCAGACUCCUACGGGAGGCAGCAGUGAGGAAUAUUGGUCAAUGGGCGGGAGCCUGAACCAGCCAAGUCGCGUGAGGGAAGACGGUCCUAUGGAUUGUAAACCUCUUUAGGCGGGGAGCAAUGCCGGGCACGCGUGCCCGGAGGGAGAGUACCCGCAGAAUAAGCAUCGGCUAACUCCGUGCCAGCAGCCGCGGUAAUACGGAGGAUGCGAGCGUUAUCCGGAUUUAUUGGGUUUAAAGGGUGCGUAGGCGGAUUUUUAAGUCAGCGGUAAAAUGUCCGGGCUCAACCCGGGCCGGCCGUUGAAACUGGGGAUCUUGAGUGGGCGAGAAGUAUGCGGAAUGCGUGGUGUAGCGGUGAAAUGCAUAGAUAUCACGCAGAACUCCGAUUGCGAAGGCAGCAUACCGGCGCCCGACUGACGCUGAGGCACGAAAGCGUGGGGAUCGAACAGGAUUAGAUACCCUGGUAGUCCACGCAGUAAACGAUGAAUGCUAGUUGUCCGGUUCUUUGGGACUGG